UUUCCGUAGGUGAACCUGCGGAAGGAUCAUUCAUAAUAAAGUGUUUUAUGGCGCUUUUUAAAAAUCCAUAUCCACCUUGUGUGCAAUGUUAGAUCUCGUCAAUCUUGGCGAGAUUUUUAUACAUCAACUCAUUCUUUAACUAAUUUGUCUGAAAAGUAUUAUGAAUACUUAAUUCAAAAUACAACUUUCAACAACGGAUCUCUUGGCUCUC
rnacentral:misc_RNA from 1 species